UACAGGGGGUGCUAGCGUUGUUCGGAAUUACUGGGCGUAAAGGGCGCGUAGGCGGCCAUGUAAGUCAGGAGUGAAAUCCCGGAGCUUAACUUCGGAAUUGCUUUUGAAACUACAUGGCUAGAGUGAGUUAGAGGAUGGCGGAAUUCCUAGUGUAGUGGUGAAAUACGUAGAUAUUAGGAAGAACACCCGUGGCGAAGGCGGCUCUCUGGUACGUGACUGACGCUGAGACGCGAAAGCGUGGGGAGCGAACAGG
rnacentral:rRNA from 1 species